rnacentral:rRNA from 2 species
UUCGCAAUGCCCGAAAGGGUGACGAAGCGACGCCGCGUGGGUGAGGAAGGCCUUCGGGUUGUAAAGCCCUGUCAGGAGUUAAGAAAUGUAAGUGUGCUAAUAUCGCAUUUAUUUGACGAAGGCUCCAAAGGAAGCCACGGCUAACUCUGUGCCAGCAGCCGCGGUAAUACAGAGGUGGCAAGCGUUGUUCGGAAUUAUUGGGCGUAAAGAGCACGUAGGUGGGUUUGCAAGUCAGAUGUGAAAGCCUCCUGUUCAACGGGAGAAUUGCAUAUGAAACUGCAGAUCUUGAGUGUAGGAGGGGAGAAUGGAACUUCUGGUGGAGCGGUGAAAUGCGUAGAUAUCGGAAGGAACGCCGGCGGCGAAAGCGAUUCUCUGGCCUAUUACUGACACUCAGUGUGCGAAAGCUAGGGGAGCAAACGGGAUUAGAUACCCCGGUAGUCCUAGCUGUAAACGAUGGGCACUAAGUAGAGGGGUUUU